rnacentral:tRNA from 1 species
GCCCGACUUGGACCAGCCGCUGGAGUUGCCGUCGUUGAAGUCGUCGGAGAAGAGGGUCGCGGCGUACGCGGCCCCGGUCAGGCC